UAGUGGCGAACGGGUGAGUAACACGUGGGCAAUCUGCCCUGCACUCUGGGACAAGCCCUGGAAACGGGGUCUAAUACCGGAUAACACUGUCCCCCUCCUGGGGGACGGUUGAAAGCUCCGGCGGUGCAGGAUGAGCCCGCGGCCUAUCAGCUUGUUGGUGGGGUAAUGGCCUACCAAGGCGACGACGGGUAGCCGGCCUGAGAGGGCGACCGGCCACACUGGGACUGAGACACGGCCCAGACUCCUACGGGAGGCAGCAGUGGGGAAUAUUGCACAAUGGGCGAAAGCCUGAUGCAGCGACGCCGCGUGAGGGAUGACGGCCUUCGGGUUGUAAACCUCUUUCAGCAGGGAAGNAGCGAAAGUGACGGUACCUGCAGAAGAAGCGCCGGCUAACUACGUGCCAGCAGCCGCGGUAAUACGUAGGGCGCAAGCGUUGUCCGGAAUUAUUGGGCGUAAAGAGCUCGUAGGCGGUCUGUCACGUCGGGUGUGAAAGCCCGGGGCUUAACCCCGGGUCUGCAUUCGAUACGGGCAGACUAGAGUGUGGUAGGGGAGAUCGGAAUUCCU
rnacentral:rRNA from 1 species